CUGUGCCUACGGGGCGCAGCAGUGGGGGAUAUUGGACAAUGGGGGGAACCCUGAUCCAGCGACGCCGCGUGAGUGAAGAAGUAUUUCGGUAUGUAAAGCUCUGUCAGCAGGGAAGACAGCAAUGACGGUACCUGACCAAGAAGCCCCGGCUAACUACGUGCCAGCAGCCGCGGUAAUACGUAGGGGGCAAGCGUUAUCCGGAAUUACUGGGUGUAACGGGAGCGUAGCCGGCUGUGCCUGUCUGGCUUGAAAGGCUGGGGCCCACCCCCCGG
rnacentral:rRNA from 1 species